UUCCGGUGGAGCUCCCCAGACCGCUCUGGUCUGUUGGUGUCAGCUGCACGAGGACCCCUCAGUUCACGUAAUACAGCACCGCCCUCCUGGGUGGAGAAGAGAGUGAUGAUUACUGCUGCAAGUGACGAAAUAGAGGUACAGAGAAUUCAAUCAGUUCCUCACGCAUCAUCAAUAUCCGCCCCACAGGCCACUGCAAUCAGAGGUCAUAUAACUGUCUCUCUGCAUCUGGUCAAAGGAGACAACAACUAAGCCACCAUGAGUUGUGUGCUCCUUGCCACGUCCUCAACAAAAUAAACCUGUCAUUUUGUUCUUUUGCUUCUCUAUUGCUCCAGAAUACUUUAACACUGACCAUGUGUCUUGUGAUUUUCCCAGAGGGAACAAGGUCUAAUCCAAAAGCCCUUUCCAUAUUCAGGCACUUACUGCUCAACAGGGCCUUCCAGUAUUAAAUUAUGCACUGACAAAAAUAAACUUAUGUUACUUUUAACUCCAUGAAGAAAUAUAUAAAUACCAUUUAGGAUGUUAUGGUGCUUUAUGGCAGGAAAGGCAGCAAAUAAAACUACAACCAUGACUGACUAUCUACAGAGAAUGUCCAAAUAUUCAUAUUCACAUUGAUCAUAUCAACAAAAAACAUAUCUCAGAAGAACAGAACUUCUCAGGAGGAUGGCUUCAUGAGCACUUUGAGAUAAAAAACAAGCUGCUUAUAGAAUUCUGUGAAUCACCAGGUCCGGAAAGAAAAAAACAAAUUUCCUGGGGAAAAUGUUAAUUCAAAUGAAAUGAAGUCUCCAGGAGCUCCACGGUCAGUGUUGCUGUGAAGUGAUCUGACUGCUGACCUGCUGAUGAGGGAGGAUGAAAGAAAUAGUAGAUGAACACAUGUGUGUGCGCUGCCCUUGACUCUCUGUGGGUCUCCGCCAGAGCUUGAGAGGUGCCCAUUCCCAUCAGUGCAGGGUGGACGUUGACCCUCACAGACGGUUCACAUCACAUCUGAAAGAGUUUGCGGCGCAAUAAAAGAGAGAAUAUAAAAUAAAAAAUAGCCUUUAUUCCAAGGUCGUGGAGAGAAGUCCAUGACCAUAGACAGCCUGAGUCCCCUCUGCCAGAAGGUGGGGUAUGGGAUAUACAUGUAACCUCUGACGGGGUAGCGCUUAGGGCAGGCAUUGAAGAUGCGCGAGGAGCUGAUUGGACUUAUCUGUGCCUGCAAACAGGAAGGGGAGUUGCGGCGAUUAGGGCUGAAGAAGAAGCAGGAAGUGGUAGGCCAUCGUGCUUUGGCCUUCCACCAUGUUAGACCACCGCCAUAACGAUACAGUAAUUUAUUCUAGUGCGAGAACCUUUCAACAUCCAGUUGCUUCCUGAAAUGAGCAAGAAGUGUAAAUAAAGGCUUGUCAAUUAAAUGUUGGAUAAAAUGGAAUUUAUGCAAAAGCCAAUAUGCAUUUGAUUUUGGGCGAACACAUUGUUUUUCAGUGUUAGUGCAGGAGCUACCGAAAAGGUCAAAGCUAAGUAGAGUUUAUGCUGUACUUUACAUGUCCCAUGAACUAAUGUCACCAUCUAACAACUGUUAGGACUGUAAUUUGCUAUUGUUUUACAAUUCAGAUUUCUGUAUUUUUAACUUAGUUUGCAGUAUAUUUCAAUGUAUUUAUUUCCAGUGUCUGACAAUUUGACAGCUCCAGGCUCUUACCACUGAAGUGUUCAGCAUCUUGCUUUGUAAUACUCGGCUUUCUGCUUAGUUUCUGUGAGUUGGUGAGGAGACUGCAUUCAAGUACCAAGAAACUCAAGGGAAAGGCAAGAAAUGUUACAGGAUAAAAGUUCUGUUCAGUGUAUAUUUUUAAUUGUGUUGCAUUAUUAGCUUAUUUUAUUUUAUAUUUGCAAAAUAACACUUAAUAUUUGUUGAAGUCACUUAAAUUUGCAUAUUCUAUAUCUACACAAAAGAAUAAGGUAGGAAAUGUCAACAUGAAGCUUAAGUUAAAAUUCUGAGUCUGAUUCAUUACAUCAGAACUUUAAAUUUCUUGGCUUCUGAAGAGAUAAACUGUGCUAUUAGUAAUUCCCAACACCUGUGCCAUAGGUACUUAAAAUAUUAAGGUUUCCUCUUAUCUUUUGUAUCAAAAUAAUCAGCAUGAACCUCUCUGUUGGACCCUGAGACACAGGUAAUGAAGUUGUUGGAGCCUGCAGGCAUUCUGACUAGAUUUAUUAGCAUGUGCCUUGUGCCUAUUUCUCUGUGAUUUAAGGGAUGCAUGUGAUGGGGAAGUCAUGUGUGCGCUGUUGCGGUAGCUCCUCACUGUGCUCCAUCCUUCUCCCCUGGUUUCCCUCAGUGGUGCUGCACAGUGGGCGUGGGUAAAGACAUAGUGUCGGGGUUGGGGAUUUAGCCCAGCGGCAGAAGCGCCUGCCUUGCAAGCAGGCAGUAGUGAGUUCGAUCCCUGGUACCGAUAAAAAAGGAAAAAGAAAAAAAGACAUAGUGUCAACCCUGGUCCAGAGUGGCUCUCAUCUGGCUCUUGGGAGUCAGCUUCCAGGGUGCUGCAGAAGCAUCUUGCAUUUAUCUCUUGUUAAGAGGUUCACCUUCCUUCAGCCAGCAAAAUGCAGAUGCAAUUCAUCAGCAUGGAGUGGGUUUGCUCAUUUUCCAUUCAUCCUAGUAGAGAUCCACGUGAUCUGUGACACUUGACAACAAGCCUGUGCUCAGAACCAAGCUGGUUUAGGCCAAGAAACUGUACAUGCCAUGGAAGAAGAUCUUAAAGCCUGAUCUGCUCUAGUUUAUGUUACAAUACAAAUACGGUUGUCUGCAGUCCUUUAUGAUAACAUUUCUGCUUGCUACUAGAGAUUAAUUUUUUUCAAAAUUGUAUCAGUGACUCAGAUAAAACAUACCAGUUGAAUCAUGAUAAAGAAAAUAAAAAAAUAAUUGAAGGAAA